rnacentral:rRNA from 1 species
CGGGUGAGUAACGCGUAUCCAACCUUCCGUACACUCAGGGAUAGCCUUUCGAAAGAAAGAUUAAUACCUGAUGGUAUCUUAAGCACACAUGUAAUUAAGAUUAAAGAUUCAUCGGUGUACGAUGGGGAUGCGUUCCAUUAGGUAGUAGGCGGGGUAACGGCCCACCUAGCCGACGAUGGAUAGGGGUUCUGAGAGGAAGGUCCCCCACAUUGGAACUGAGACACGGUCCAAACUCCUACGGGAGGCAGCAAUGAGGAAUAUUGGUCAAUGGACGAGAGUCUGAACCAGCCAAGUAGCGUGAAGGAUGAAGGUCCUACGGAUUGUAAACUUCUUUUAUAAGGGAAUAAACCCUCCCACGUGUGGGAGCUUGUAUGUACCUUAUGAAUAAGCAUCGGCUUAACUCCGUGCCAGCAGCCGCGGUAAUACGGAGGAUGCGAGCGUUAUCCGGAUUUAUUGGGUUUAAAGGGAGCGCAGACGGGUCGUUAAGUUAGCUGUGAAAGU